rnacentral:rRNA from 1 species
GUAACGCGUAUAGAAUCUGCCUUGUACUAGGGAAUAGCCCAGAGAAAUUUGGAUUAAUGCCCUAUAGUAUAUCGUUAUGGCAUCAUAACGAUAUUAAAGGUUACGGUACAAGAUGACUAUGCGUCCCAUUAGUUAGUUGGUGAGGUAACGGCUCACCAAGACUGCGAUGGGUAGGGGCCCUGAGAGGGGGAUCCCCCACACUGGUACUGAGACACGGACCAGACUCCUACGGGAGGCAGCAGUGAGGAAUAUUGGACAAUGGGCGGGAGCCUGAUCCAGCCAUGCCGCGUGCAGGAAGACGGUCCUAUGGAUUGUAAACUGCUUUUAUACGGGAAGAACCUGGGGCACGUGUGCCCUUCUGACGGUACCGUAAGAAUAAGGAUCGGCUAACUCCGUGCCAGCAGCCGCGGUAAUACGGAGGAUCCAAGCGUUAUCCGGAAUCAUUGGGUUUAAAGGGUCCGUAGGCGGGCCAUUAAGUCAGGGGUGAAAGUUUGCGGCUCAACCGUAAAAUUGCCCUUGAUACUGGUGGUCUUGAGUUAUAGUGAAGUGGCUAGAAUAUGUAGUGUAGCGGUGAAAUGCAUAGAUAUUACAUAGAAUACCGAUUGCGAAGGCAGGUCACUAACUAUACACUGACGCUGAUGGACGAAAGCGUGGGGAGCGAACAGGAUUAGAUACCCUGGUAGUCCACGCCGUAAACGAUGGAUACUAGCUGUUCGGGCGCAAGCCUGAGCGGCCAAGCGAAAGUGAUAAGUAUCCCACCUGGGGAGUACGUUCGCAAGAAUGAAACUCAAAGGAAUUGACG